rnacentral:rRNA from 1 species
UUCGUAGGGCGCAAGCGUUAUCCGGAAUUAUUGGGCGUAAAGAGCUCGUAGGCGGUUUGUCGCGUCUGCCGUGAAAGUCCGGGGCUCAACUCCGGAUCUGCGGUGGGUACGGGCAGACUAGAGUGAUGUAGGGGAGACUGGAAUUCCUGGUGUAGCGGUGAAAUGCGCAGAUAUCAGGAGGAACACCGGUGGCGAAGGCGGGUCUCUGGGCCGUAACUGACGCUGAGGAGCGAAAGCAUGGGGAGCGAACAGG